GUGCUGACGCUUGAAGCCUUCUUCAGUGUCAGUUGUACCUCCACCAUCAGCAUCUGCUUCAUUCUCCCUUCAGCCAGACUACAAUUUCUACAUUGCAUUUUCUUCCACUUUCUGUGCAGUUCAGGUUGUGAGAUGGCAUUCAUUUCCAAAAGAGCAAAAUUUCUACCCUCCACUGUCUUGUGAUAGAUCUGAAUUUAACAGAAUCACAAGGGAUGGCACCGUACCCUUCUGUGCUGAGAAAACCUGUGUGGUACGGGAAGCAGAAAAGUGGUAAAGGGCAAUGGAACACUCUUCCAUAGAGAUGUUUUGAAACAUAGAUUUAUUUCUGAGGAGGUGAAAAGGAAGCCCACGUCAUAAAAAACAAUGAGCCAUUCAUUAACCUCUAACUAUCCAAACAAGAAGUCCUACAUCCCAGAUUAGUAGAACAUCUCUUAAUACACA